GCCAGGCCAUUUGAUAAUGUGAGAAGGAAGCCUGCUAGCAUGGGUUGGUGCCGGAUAUGUAGAGUUGAUUGUGAAACAGUUGAAGGUUUGGACUUGCAUUCUCAAACAAGGGAGCACCAGAGGACGGCUAUGGAUAUAGUUAAAAGCAUCAAACAAAAUGUGAAGAAACAAAAAUUAAUACCAACUGAACAUUCCUCAGUCAAAGAUGGAAACAAGACAAGAAACACUGGUUUUGAGGGUCGAGGAAAUAAACAUUGAGUAGCCAUCGUUUACGGUUACUUGGCUUUCAUGCAGAUUUCAACCAAAGAUAUUGCUGCGGUUGCUACCAUCAUAUUAAUGGAGAUGUUUUUGGGAUCUCAAGUACAUUGGCAGUUAAGUUUGUUGGCUUUUGAAUUUGAAAUUAAUUUAUAACUAGAAUAGUUGUUUCAACCUUUGUUUCAACCUUUGUGCUCUGUUAACAGUUUGUCGUUUUAUUCUGCCCAUGUUGCUUAGAUGCUAAUGGUAAGGACAAUACAUAUGAAUGUUUAUCUUUUGGGCUUUAGUAGAGGCCUCCAUUGUCCAUUGAUGCCUCUGCAUUAUGGUAUGAUAUGUUGUGCUGUCUAGGUAAUUUUCUGAAAA